ACGUUCGGUCACGCCAGUCUCUCGCCGACGCCGCGUGAAUCCGUACGAGCAUCGAGCUUCUGUCACGAUGACAGCGCCACCGGUUCGGGAGGCUCUUACCUUUUACAAUGGAGGAUAUUUUUCUUGACAUUAAACUUGAUUAUUUUCUGAUGAAAUGUCAAUGAUACUUUUUUGUAACUAGUAUAUGGGAAUUAGUGUUUUUCAACAUCUUUAGGAUAAAUAGUAUUCAGUAACUCAUACUAUUGUCUCAAUACAACAAAACUAGCAUUCGUUCUCUAAACAAGUUCAAGAAAAAUAUCUAUUCUCCGAGCAUUAAAACGGUUACACUUCCUCCGCCGUAGUAACCAUCCAGCCUGGAAAAUAAUGUGAGAAUGGACAUAAUACGCUACUUCUGCUCUGCCCCCUGCAUUCGCAUGGCGGCCGCCGGUCUUGAGGUGCGCGAGGCUGGACGAGCGCUGCGGGUACAAACGGAAGCGCCGCAUCUCGUUUCCAUGGGAAGCGGUCGUUUGUCAACGGCGGUGACCCUGCAUCCUUUGCCCGAAGGUAUGGUACAGUGCAAUUACGCGAGCCGAAGGCAGUGCCUGCCGCACGGAUUCUUUUGUGACUCGGCUAAUUGGAAUUAGAGACGCUAUAGUAACACGGAAAUCAUUCGCGUGCCUUCGCGUUGUAACAAAGGGAUGUUCAACGCAGGGGUCACGUGAUUUGCUGAACCGUUCAGCUGACACCGGGACUACCGAAUCGGACGAAGUUUCUUGUGCGGCGAGGUUAGGUUUGCGGUAGAAUUACCGGGUGGAUUGAAAUGACCAAUUUCACGUGCCUUUUACAAUGAUUGCAACGGCGCAGACAGUUUUUUAAGAAAUGGUUGAAGACAGGGAUUUCAAAGUGAUGUGCGUGUUAAAUGUAAAUGUGUGAUGAAGGGAAUAUGAAGUUUGUUGAUUUUGGUUGUAGGUUGUUGA